AUUGAACGCUGGCGGCAGGCUUAACACAUGCAAGUCGAGCGAGCGGCGGACGGGUGAGUAAUGUCUGGGAAACUGCCUGAUGGAGGGGGAUAACUACUGGAAACGGUAGCUAAUACCGCAUACCAUCAGAUGUGCCCAGAUGGGAUUAGCUAGUAGGUGGGGUAAUGGCUCACCUAGGCGACGAUCCCGAGCUGGUCUGAGAGGAUGACGAGCCACCCGGGAACUUAAACACGGUCCAGAUGCCUACGGUGGGCAGCAGUGGGAAAUAUGGCACAAGGGGCGCAGGCCUGAUGCAGCCAUGCCGGGUGUGUGAAGAGGGCCUUCGGGUUGUAAAGCGCUUUCAGCGAGGAGGCGUUACUCGCAGAAGAAGCACCGGCUAACUCCGUGCCAGCCGCCGCGGUAAUUC
rnacentral:rRNA from 1 species